GAUUUGCCUCUAUUUGAGUACCUGCUAUGCGAUAGGCACAUGGCUGAGGGCUAUUUUCAGUUUCUCGAUAUUAUAAAGCACAUUUUGACCUGGGAAAACUAUUCAUACAGGGUACUACAG
rfam:Canis lupus familiaris chromosome 14, whole genome shotgun sequence.